rnacentral:rRNA from 1 species
AACGAACGCUGGCGGCAGGCCUAACACAUGCAAGUCGAGCGAACCUUCGGGGUUAGCGGCGGACGGGUUAGUAACGCGUGGGAAUAUACCCAAAGGUACGGAAUAGCCUCUGGAAACGGAGAGUAAUACCGUAUGUGCCCUUCGGGGGAAAGAUUUAUCGCCUUUGGAUUAGCCCGCGUUGGAUUAGGUAGUUGGUGGGGUAACGGCCUACCAAGCCUACGAUCCAUAGCUGGUUUGAGAGGAUGAUCAGCAACACUGGACUGAGACACGGCCCAGACUCCUACGGGAGGCAGCAGUGGGGAAUCUUCGGCAAUGGGCGAAAGCCUGACCGAGGCCAUGCCGCGUGAGCGAUGAAGGCCAUAGGGUUGUAAAGCU